UACGUAGGGCGCAAGCGUUGUCCGGAAUUAUUGGGCGUAAAGAGCUCGUAGGCGGCCUGUUGCGUCCGCUGUGAAAUCCCGGGGCUCAACCCCGGGCCUGCAGUGGAUACGGGCUGGCUAGAGGCAGGCAGGGGAGAACGGAAUUCCUGGUGUAGCGGUGAAAUGCGCAGAUAUCAGGAAGAACACCCGUGGCGAAGGCGGCUCUCUGGAACGCAACUGACGCUGAGACGCGAAAGCGUGGGGAGCAAACAGG
rnacentral:rRNA from 1 species